UACGAAGGGGGCUAGCGUUGUUCGGAAUUACUGGGCGUAAAGCGCGCGUAGGCGGCGACCUUUGUCAGAGGUGAAAUCCCGAGGCUCAACUUCGGAAUUGCCUUUGAAACGGGGUUGCUUGAGUCCGAGAGAGGAUGGCGGAAUUCCUAGUGUAGAGGUGAAAUUCGUAGAUAUUAGGAAGAACACCGGUGGCGAAGGCGGCCAUCUGGCUCGGUACUGACGCUCAGGCGCGAAAGCGUGGGGAUCAAACAGG
rnacentral:rRNA from 1 species